UGUGGGCGAGGCGCGGGUGCCGCGGCCCGGCCGCGUGGGAGGUGCUCGUCACCCGCUAGAAGCAGCUGGCAAACCGCUCCAGCCAGCCGCGUUCGCUGGCUUGAAUGAAGCCCUUGGCCUAGAUGGUGCUUGGUUCCCAGGGCCUCACACGUAGAAGCUUUGCCUCGACACUUGUGAGGGCCUGGUACACCCGCAGUUUUGGAAUGGAGCCAAAGCAACAGUGGGGGAAGGUGGGAGGGGAUUCCGUGUCUGAAUAGGCAAACCAGGAGCAGGGAGGUGCUGGAGAAGGGGCUGAAGGAGUGGAGUGCAGGACAGGAGGCUCGUGAGACCAGUGCCAGUCGCAUGAGCACCGCUCUCUGUUGGGAACGCUCUGCCUGUGCGGUGAGGAUGUGACGGCUGUCGCGGCUUCGGGCUGCUCAGAAACAAGGGAACGCAGUGAUGGAGCAGCGCCGGGUGUGGAUGGAGCAGCGCCGGGUGUGGAUGGAGCAGCGCCAGAGCAGCCCUGGGUGUGGAUGGAGCAGCGCCGGGUGUGGAUGGGGAGCAGCGCUGGGUGUGGAUGGAGCAGCGCCAGAGCAGCGCCGGGUGUGGAUGGAGCAGCGCCGGGUGUGGAUGGAGCAGUGGCAGAGCAGCCCUGGGUGUGGAUGGGGAGCAGCGCUGGGUGUGGAUGGAGCAGCGCCAGAGCAGCGCCAGGUGUGGAUGGAGCAGCGCCAGAGCAGCGCCAGGUGUGGAUGGAGCAGCCCUGGGUGUGGAUGGAGCAGCGCCGGGUGUGGAUGGGGAGCAGCGCCGGGUGUGGAUGGAGCAGCACCGGAGCAGCCCUGGGUGUGGAUGGAGCAGCGCCAGAGCAGCCCUGGGUGUGGAUGGAGCAGCACCGGAGCAGCCCUGGGUGUGGAUGGAGCAGCGCCAGAGCAGCCCUGGGUGUGGAUGGAGCAGCGCCAGAGCAGCCCUGGGUGUGGAUGGAGCAGCACCGGAGCAGCCCUGGGUGUGGAUGGAGCAGCGCUGGGUGUGGACGGAGCAGCCCUGGGUGUGGAUGGAGCAGCCCUGGGUGUGGAUGGAGCAGCCCUGGGUGUGGAUGGAGCAGCGCCAGAGCAGCCCUGGGUGUGGAUGGAGCAGUGCCAGAGCAUCCCUGGGUGUGGAUGGAGCAGCGCCGGGUGUGGACGGAGCAGUCUGGGGUGUCGGAGCUGCAGCUUGUUGCAGUGGCAGACGCUCCGGGCUGUGUCCAGCAGGCACUGACAGGGAGCGUCGCCUGUGGGAGCAAAGCCCCGUGUCUGUGGCCGUGGCGCCUGCCUGGCAGCAGAGUCUCCCCGUCGUCAGAGCCCGUGAAAGAGCCGAGUCCCAGCGCCGCCGGGCUCUCGGGUUCUCUGGAGCCGUUGCUGAGCUGCGCAGGCUGCGUGUGCUGCUCAGCGCCUGCCGGGGCUUCCCGUGGUGAACCGCUCCGCUUUGGACAGCGUUCCGCUGGAUUGUGAGCUGAAGGCGGGAGAGGGAGGAGCUGCCGCUAAGGCGAAACUCGGGUGGUUUGCGCGUCCCCGGGUGCGGGAAGCCCCGCAGCCGGCUCGGGAAGGGACCUGAGGUGCGCGGCAAGAAUUACUGCGAUCAAAGUCACUUUGGGGCACAACUACGAACUCUUCAGUGAAAUGGCAGAGACCUGUUACAGGAUGGAUACGUCUUACUGUUUCUUUCUGCACAAUACUGCAGGGUUUGUUACUGUGAGGAAGUUUUAGAAGUCCAUACAUAGAGAGAAGGCUCUGAAAGACCUCAGAGACACUGGGCAGUCUUGCUGCCUUAUUUGGACACGGCUCAAAUGUGGGUGACCUGUCUGAUUUGCCGUGUGGGUGGUUGUACAUGACAAGGGAGAAGACACAGUAAGAGCGGUUACAGAAGGCAAAAUCUCUUAUUUACGCUUCUAGCGUAGUUGUGUGGAACAGCAUCUUUGAAACAAGAAAGCAGUCGUGGUCUGUAAGGCCUUUAAUUUCCCAGGUUUUUAAAACACGAGAUAAUCAGUGGAGCUAAAUAAGUGAAGGACAGGAGAGGCGCCUGGGUCAGGGAUGCAGCUCUGGAUGGGCACUGGAGCUGUGGCCUGGGCUCAGCCUGCAGCCAGGGGACGAGGCGCCUGCGCUCUCCCGCGGAACAAGCAGGGAGGUACGUACUGGGCAGCCAGGACAGUUACGUCUUGGCAAUGACGGGAAACAUCAGUCUUGCAAAAGAACCGAAGGAACUGAAGCUGUUAGGACAAGUUUCUUUAGCCGCGGAAGUUCGAAGUGUGGCAGCCGAUACCCCGGUGUAGUAACACGUCGUGCUGCCUUGUUGGGGCGCGGAACGCUGAGGCGGGCGUUUGCCCGCGUCAGGAGCGCGGGGCGGGCUGGCGACGGUGCCCGCCUGUUCCGCAGCCCAGCCGGCGUCGCGCACGGAGUUCGUCGCGUGCAGGUGCACGUGUAAUGGCUUUAGGUUGGUUCUGUGUGACAGGUGUGUCGUGUCGGGGCUGUUGCCGCACGGCCGAGGAGCCGCAGCGCGGAGGGCUGGGGUCUGUGGACUUUGUGCGCACCCAGUGCCGGGAAAGGCUCGGGACAAGCUGUACAGGACGGACUAAAGUUUCAAAAGGAACAGAUGCAGAACGUUUGAGUGCUUUAGGGACAUGCCCAUGCUAGACGAACAUAAUGUUCUUUGAAAAUACUGUUACACUUGUAAAGAAGAAAAA